rnacentral:rRNA from 1 species
UACGGGGGGAGCAAGCGUUGUUCGGAUUUACUGGGCGUAAAGGGCUCGUAGGUGGCCAACUAAGUCAUACGUGAAAUCCCUCAGCUUGACUGGGGAACUGCGUCUGAUACUGGAUGGCUUGAGUUUGGGAGAGGGAUGCGGAAUUCCAGGUGUAGCGGUGAAAUGCGUAGAUAUCUGGAGGAACACCGGUGGCGAAGGCGGCAUCCUGGACCAAUACUGACACUGAGGAGCGAAAGCCAGGGGAGCAAACGGG